CAGCCGCCGCGGGAAUACGAAGGGUGCAAGCGUUAAUCGGAAUUACUGGGCGUAAAGCGCGCGUAGGUGGUUUGUUAAGUUGGAGGUGAAAUCCCCGGGCUCAACCUGGGAACUGCCUCCAAAACUGGCUGACUAGAGUACGGUAGAGGGUGGUGGAAUUUCCUGUGUAGCGGUGAAAUGCGUAGAUAUAGGAAGGAACACCAGUGGCGAAGGCGACCACCUGGACUGAUACUGACACUGAGGUGCGAAAGCGUGGGGAGCAAACAGGAUUAGAUACCCCAGUAGUCCCUGUCUCUUAUAA
rnacentral:rRNA from 1 species